rnacentral:sRNA from 1 species
UUGACAACACUAGAGACUGAAUUCCUCUAUUUAUCAACAGAAAGUUACAGCACAGAAAGCAACUGCAAGCUUCAUCACAAUGCCCUGCUACCAUGCCUGAACUCUGACCUAGAAGGACAUCUAGGUGAGUCUCUACAGACAUUCAGUCCUUAAACUCU